ACCCAUUCAUUGAAUACAAAGCGAACUAUUCUUUCCCCUUCUACUAAAGAAUACUGUGUAUUCGCUGCAAAUAGUGGCAUACGCCUAUUUUUGCAGAGUCCCUUCAAUUAUUGACGGGC
rfam:Helianthus annuus linkage group 5, whole genome shotgun sequence.